rnacentral:misc_RNA from 1 species
CUUGAACUAGGGUUUCAGAGCUUCUUCCAACUCUAUAUAACCACGAGGUUCCGUUCUAUUCUUCAUUCGCAGUCUUCGGAAAGGAAGCUGCUGUUCAUCUUUCUGAGACAGAUGUAUGUUAGGUAAUCACCUGCGAAAUUUUCUCUCCACUUCUGCUUCUGUUUAUAUGAUAUUAUGAUUGGUAAGCCUCUGCACGAUGCCUCCCGGGCUUCUCUGAAGUUAAUCUAGUGACGGCGAAUGCCCCAAUGCACGUGCUAAAGAUCCGCCGUUUAGUGUUGCAGUUUAGCCUUUUUCUCCUUUCUCCGGCUGAUCUGUGUCAAAUCAACGGCCACAUCUAUUCCUCCUUUUCUUAGUCUUAUGAAUAUUUUGUGUUUAGUAUGCCUCUCCACACCUUUAGCUUGUUUUCGACUUAAUUGUAUGGGAAAUAAGGCUAGUCAUGGAGGCAAAUAUUAUUUUUUUGCAGUGUUAACGUGGGGGUAUGUCUUCUUCAAUAGCUUUGCCUCUAAAAACAUCUGCUACAAUCUUUUAUAUUUCUUUCUCUGAUCUUUUUCACUUUGGUUAGCGAUUUGGAUUAUUAUUUUAUGCUUCAAAAAGUUGUUUUUUUUUUUGAAUGAUUUGGGUAAUUUUGAUGUUAAUUAUGUUGUUUUCCAAUAAUUGUCGGCGAUGAUUAAUUAUUUAUCCGCGCUUCUGAGAGAAAUCGAUGAAGCAGAAAAAUAAAUAUGGUUGAAUUUCUUGAUAUGAGCCAAUAAUCUCUAUCUUAAACAAAUACAUAUGAUGAUUUAGUGUUUUUUUAUUUUGUCUAUCUUUAUUUGUUUUCUAAUUCAUGGGUUCAUAUGUGUUGCAAAUUGGCUAUGAGGAUUAAUAUUCACUUUAAAUGUCAGUUCUGCUUCAGAAAAUUAUUGAUCGAUAGUGAUGUUAUUACUCUGAGCCUUUUAAUUCCCAGUUUUUUUUUUUUCCUUUUUAUAAUUUAUUUAUGUUUGGUUGAAUGGUUAGCAAUAGUUGGCAUGGAUGAGAUAUCCAUGUUGUUGAGAUGUAGUUGGCCCAAGUCCCUGUUUCAAGGGAAAACUUACUUGCGGUCACUGCAUCAAUUUAUGAAAUUACUGGAAAUCUCUGAGUCCAUUUGAUUCACCUUUACCAUGAACUUAUAAUUUUUAUUCUAAACAUACUUUUUGAAUGAAGAUUGCUAGUGAUGAGUUGAUCCACUUUGUUAUAGGUGUAGUUGAGCCAAGUCCCUGCUUGUCAGGGAGAACCUACUUGGUGGAGGCUACAUUACAAUGACAUUAAUGGAUUUUUCUGAAGCAAAUUUUAUAUCUUAAGUUGAUUGCUUCAUAUUUUUCUGUAUAUUGUUCCAAACUUGAAUUAUGUUUGUUCUUUAUUCUUUUGAGUUUAACUAUACCCUUUAAUCCUUUCUAAUGGAGUGAGGGUCUGAAAAACUCAGACAUUGGGUGUGUUGUCAUCAGCUUCAUCUCCCACAACCCACGAGAUAGGAGUUAAAUAACAGCACUACAUUUGGUGCCUUAAACUGAUUGAAAAUUUUAUUGGUGAAUGUUAUUUGAUGAUCUUUUGUACCUCUUUUACUUGGGUUGAAUGUUGGUUCUGUGAUUGCAGGUUCCUGAUGAUUGAGUUUAACACACCAUGCGCAGAAAUUUAGUGGUAAACAGUUAUAAAGGGAGGUGUUAACGAGUCGUAGAAUUUUUGUAAAUGACUAUGAAGUUGUAAAUAUACAUAAUUGGCUGUUCUUUGUUCUUGAAUGGGCUGUUUCUUCCUUCGCACUAUACAUCAUCAAGAAAUUUACAAAAUGGAAUGUGAAGUUUUAAAUAUUCUUGCUUUCUCAGUUAAUCCAUUUGAGUUUUUUCUUUAUGCUGAGAAUUGUUAGAAGGGAGUUAUCUGCUCAUAAGUUUUUUUUUUAAGUAAAAAAAUAUAAGUAUAAAAUCAAUAUUGUAUG